AUGCAAGUCUUGUUGGAAGUCAUGUAUGAAGGUCAACGUGACCUCCUGUCCAACCAAACUUAUAAUCUUGACCAACUUGCUUUCGCAUCAGACAGAAUUAAAGAUGCUCAACACACUAUGACUGCAAUGAAGGCUGCCAAUAAAGAGCUGAAAGGGAUGAUGAAGACUGUCAGGAUUGAAGAUAUAGAUAGCAUGCAAGACGAGAUGAUGGAUCUUAUGGAUGUGAGCAAUGAAAUACAAGAAACUCUUGGUAGAAGCUACAAUGUCCCAGAUGACAUCGAUGAGGAGGAACUUAUGGGCGAGCUUGAUGCUUUGGAAGCCGAUAUGGACUUUGAGUCGAAUUCAGUCCCAUCGUAUCUCCAACCAGACAAGGAGACUGAUCUUGAUUCUGAGCUUAACCUACCUGCUGCACCAAGUGGUCAUGCAGCAGUCCUAGCGAACCGGCAGCAGGAGGAUGAACUGGGACUGCCUACCGUGCCGCACGCAUCAAUUCGUACCUGA
rnacentral:rRNA from 1 species